rnacentral:rRNA from 1 species
CCGUUGCAAGGGACUCCGAAGAGCUGUGGCAAGGGGUGAAAAGCCAAUCUAACCUGGAGAUAGCUGGUCUUCUGCGAAACCCGUUUUAGCGGGUCGCCCAUUUAUUGAAAUUAAAUUCGUUACUAGACGGUACGGCACUGGAAGCCACGCAGCUUUUGCUGCAUAAUCGGGGGGCUGUCAUGGCUCUAUCGAUGGCUUCUAACCCCGGAAAUGUAUAGUACACAGUGAUGGGCAAUCAGACGUAUCGUGAUAAGACGAUUCGUCAAAAGGGCAACAGCCCAGAACAGGUGUGAAGGUCCCUAACAAGCUACUGAGUGAACACAAGGCAGUCCUCUCCAGUGUCUCUCCACAAAGUGGGCUUGGAAGCAGCCACCUUUUAGCGAUAGCGUAACAGCUCAGUGGUCUGAGCCUCCCUGUAAAAAGGGCAUAUUGCCUGGUGAGGGCGCCAAAAAUGUAACGGGUCUAUAGUAGUUGUCUCUCUGUUCCAGCUUUGGAUAUGGAGGGAGUGGCAGUUUCUUUACUGUCUCACCGAAACCCUGUCCUAGAUGUAAAAUUCUAGGGGUAGCAGAAUACCCAGCAAAUGGAAUGAAGCUAGCUCAUUGAGCCGGUGGACAUAGCUGGGCUAAGAAUGCUGACAUGAGUAGCCUAAAAAGAGGGUAAUUCCCUCUUCGCCGAAAGCAGAAGGGUUUCAUUUGUAAGGUCUAUACCUAGAUGAUUAAAGCAGCGGCCUCUAAGGUUCAGAGUAACAAAUUAGUUCCGAUGAGUAACUCUUCUAUAGGGCAGUAACCUUCCUUAUAAGUUUACCUUCAAGUAAUUAGAGGUAUACUUCAAAGAGUAAGGUUCGGGAAAGAGCCCUACAGAAUAAAUCUUAAAACCGUACCCUAAACCGACACAGGUCUGCAAGUAGAGCAUACUAAGGCGUAGAGAUAAUCGUCUUGAAGGAACUCGGCAAAAUGACCCCGUAACUUCGGGAGAAGGGGUGCCACUAAUAAGUGGUGGCACUAAACAGGGGGGCGCGACUGUUUACUUAAAACACCGGACUCUGCUAACACUAGCGUGGAUGUAUAGAGU